ACUACCAGCAGCACUGCAGGUAUGGCUGCUGUUCACACAUGAGUCAAUAGGUGGCAGAGAGGAGAGAGGCUAUUUUUAUGCUCAAUGUUCUGACCUGUGAACACUUGAAUGAUUAGUUGCCUAACAUU